UAGCUUCAUGGCUUGAUUGGUUUCAUAAUUCAGUUAAGAAUGGGUAACAGAUUCUUCCCCCUCCAUAUCCAAACACAUCCUCAAGUACACAUGGAGAUGUAAGUGAUAAGAGAGUUUGACCACUUGAUCUGAGACUUCCUCCAACAGCUAUAUGAAAUGCUGGAAUGGUAUGAUGGCCAAAUAACUCCAAGCUUUCUUUAAUGAUGUUGAUGCAUUUUAAUUUAGUUACUAGCUUGGUUACUAGCUUGGUUGCAACACAAAUACCACUUAGUAACCAUGAUGGAUAGAUAGGAAAAGGGCUAAGGAAAAACUAAUUCCCCUACAACUCCCAGCAACAUUCAACACCAUCCAUCAUCGUAUGCUCUGGGUGCUAUGCUCUCUGCAUCGAGAAUGGGAGAUGCAGCGUUUGAUGGUUCCAUACAUGCUUCCGGGAGAAGAUCCCAAAAGGCGACUCUAUAGACCUAAUCCAUAGAAUUUGAAUGUUUUGUGGUAAUGUGUUGUGUGAAUCUAACUUCAAUACCAUUCAACAGAUUGUGUUCAAAUAAACCAUGGUUCAGGAAGAUAA